rnacentral:lncRNA from 10 species
CCACGGUCCGCACGAACCUUGGUGGCCCGGGCCCCUGCUCCCCCAGAACAGCGCCCAGGUCUCGGAGAAACCCCCCGAAGCCGUGGGCCCAGACGCUCCCGGGGGACCUCGGUGGGACGGGCAGGGCGGGCGCCGCGGGCGAGGGGACGCGCACUGUCCCCGGGCGAACCAGAAACACCCCACACCGGGCACCUCCCCAGGAAUCGCCCACCCACCCCCAUUGUUCUCCACCAGGUUUCACCUUACCACCCUCCCCCCAGGCAUCUCCCCCGUUGCAUCGCCCCCACGCGGGCAUCGCUCCCACCCGGGCAUCUCGGCUCUGUCCUGCCCUGGGGUGGCCGCAGCCCGCGGGGAGGAAGCGCGGCGAGGCGCCCACACCGGGAAAGUGUCUCCGUGACUCUGCGAGGUUACACUCCGGGUGCGUCGCUGCGGGCUCGUGGGCUCGUGGGCUGCAGCCCCCCGCUCCUGUCGGGUGGACGAGCCCCGGGCCCGCGUGGAGCUGCUCGGUCAAGGCCGGCCCGGGAGGGGCGCGGCGCAGGGCGGGCAGGGGCGGGGUCCUAGGUCAACGUCCAGCCCCAGACCCAGCCCCGCCGCCGGAUCCACCGUGCCUCUGUUUCCCCAUUCCUGAGAAAUCGGAACGCCGGCGGCACCCCCUUCUCCGGGCCGGAGCCUGCGCCCUCCGGAUUGCGCGCCUCUGUCCAGGCGGCGGCCGGGGGUGGGAGCGCGCAGCGGGCCAACUUCCCUAAAGGGAACUGUCGGGAGGGCGCCCAGAAGGGAAAGACCAGGAAGCGCUGGGUGCUGAGCUGGAGUCUGGCCCCUUCCUGGGGGACCGGGGAGGGGGCUGAAGGACAAGAGCAAAAAUCACCCCCUGCAGAACCUAGGAGCUACGUGCAGAACUUUACAGAGUUGAGGCAGCGCCGUAGCUGAGGCCUGACUGCUAACCAGGGAGUGGAGCUCUGAGUGCACUCAAGGAACGCAAGGAAGCCAGGCAGGGAGGAAGGGGCCGGCGGAGUCUAACUUCAGCUGCCAUCUUUUUUGGUGGCACAUCUCGUGGUCACAGGUUGUAGGCUGUGUUUCUGGAAGGUUCAGGUACAGCGCAAGAUUCCACUUGUCUACUUGGCUAUCUCUGUGCCUGAGGUGCCAUGAGGCCAACGGACGUCACUCAAAUUCAUGUCCAGCCAAACUCCCACAGCAAAGAAUCCCGAACCGAGGAUGAAGUUCCUCUAGAAAGCAUUCCUAUCUGUGGCAAAGCUGCAGACACCCCGAAACCCAUCUCCCACCUCGUCUGGAAUUUCAGGAGCUUCGUUUGCUGAGCCAGUGCACUCAUGGCAACCCUGCAGGAAGCCAUGUGGCACCUCUGGGCUUUGCACCGUGUGUGUUCUCUUCUCUAAACUGCUGUUUUUGCUUAGCAAAGAGCCUCGCCUGCCACUGAUGAUGGCAGUGUGGGGUCAUUUUGAAUGGCUGCCUGACACUGCAUGGCACAUUCACGUACACAGUCCUGUGGGAUCGUGACAUAAUAAGAAAUAGAUAUUUCAUCUCUGCCCCUGGUUCCUGACACAGAGCUCCUAAAACCAUUGAAAUUUCCUGGAUAAUAGGAGCUUCUUCUGUUCCAAUGGGGUGACUCUUGGUGGGCUCCUGGAUGGGGGCUGGUCACUAGCGAGACCACACCAUGAUGAGAAACCUGGAGCUUCAGCCCUACCCCCACCUCUGAGCAGGGGAGACGGGCUAGCUAGAGGCGCGGUUCCUAAUGCGCCAUAUGCCUACAUGAAGACGUCUCCGUAAAAGUCCCUCAGCAGUGGGGGUUUGGAGAGCUCCCAGCAGGCAAGGCUUGCACACCCACAGUCAUGAUGCUGAAGGGCUCCAGUACCACAGGAUUGCUCAUGUCGUCCAUCUAUAGUCACACCCGCCUCCCUCCUGUCCCCAGCCUGACAUGAAUCUCUGGCAAACACAAAUCUGUUCUUUUCUAAAACUGUGUCAUUUAAAAAUCACAUAGUAGGCUGAGUGCAGUGGC